rnacentral:rRNA from 1 species
UACGGGGGGGGCGAGCGUUGUUCUGAAUCACUGGGCGUAAAGGGCGCGUAGGCGGCCCGCACAAGUCUGCGGUGAAAACCCCCGGCUUAACCGGGGGCCGGCCAUGGAAACUGUCGGGCUAGAGGCCGGGAGAGGGCAGCGGAAUUCCCGGUGUAGCGGUGAAAUGCGUAGAGAUCGGGAGGGACACCGGCGGCGAAGGCGGCUGCCUGGACCGGCCCUGACGCUGAGGCGCGAAAGCUAGGGGAGCAAACAGG